CGGGCUGUAGCUCAGUAGGCUAGAGCGCUUGGUUUGGGACCAAGAGGUCGUGGGUUCGAGCCCCGCUAGCCCGACCA
rnacentral:tRNA from 2 species